rnacentral:rRNA from 1 species
CGGGGUGAAUACGUUCCCGGGCCUUGCACACACCGCCCGUCAAGCCAUGGAAGCUGGGUGUACCUAAAGUCGGUAACCGUAAGGAGCCGCCUAGGGUAAAACUAGUGACUGGGGCU